AUUGAACGCUGGCGGCAGGCUUAACACAUGCAAGUCGAGCGGAGAGAGGUAGCUUGCUACUGAUCUUAGCGGCGGACGGGUGAGUAAUGCUUAGGAAUCCGCCUAUUAGUGGGGGACAACAUUUCGAAAGGAAUGCUAAUACCGCAUACGUCCUACGGGAGAAAGCAGGGGAUCUUCGGACCUUGCGCUAAUAGAUGAGCCUAAGUCGGAUUAGCUAGUUGGCGGGGUAAAGGCCUACCAAGGCGACGAUCUGUAGCGGGUCUGAGAGGAUGAUCCGCCACACUGGGACUGAGACACGGCCCAGACUCCUACGGGAGGCAGCAGUGGGGAAUAUUGGACAAUGGGCGGAAGCCUGAUCCAGCCAUGCCGCGUGUGUGAAGAAGGCCUUAUGGUUGUAAAGCACUUUAAGCGAGGAGGAGGCUACUUUAGUUAAUACCUAGAGAUAGUGGACGUUACUCGCAGAAUAAGCACCGGCUAACUCUGUGCCAGCAGCCGCCGUAAAAC
rnacentral:rRNA from 1 species